AACACCUUAAGGUUGCACUUUGUAAAUACAGCUGUUUCUCAAAACACGCCUCUUUUGGGGAGUAAUUGAAUAUUCAUAGAAAAUUGAUUUUGUUUACAUACUGGUUCCCAGUUAUACUCUCUGUGUUCCAUAUCGCAGAGACAGAACUUGGGAAUGUUACCAGUAAAUAAACACGUGCAUAUUGUUUACAUUGAAAUCUGUGGUAACCUUUCAUUUGAGGUAGGGGUAGUUAAGAAAAUUAGUGUAAGUUUAAACUCUGAGAAGUUCAGGGCAUAUAAACGUUUGAAAAUAUGCCGCACAGCCCUAUAUUUUGACCUUUGAAAAAAAUUGUGGUGCAUAUGAACUUUCAAUUCUAGGAUAAGAUUUUUUUCAAAACUUCAUAGUAAAAUUGGUACAGUUUUAGCCGUAAAAGGAGUUCCUAUGGGAAAUUGCAUUGUCAAUAUUUACAGAAAUGCAACCUAUAUAGGGUGAAAAAGGGGAACAUUCAGAAUUUAACCAAAUGUGCUUUAUUUCACAGAUUUUUAAGAAAUUAACUGAAAUAAGAAGUUUUAUAAAUAUUUAAUGAAGAUUGAUAGAAUCC
rnacentral:lncRNA from 1 species